UACGUAGGGUGCAAGCGUUGUCCGGAAUUAUUGGGCGUAAAGAGCUCGUAGGCGGCUUGUCGCGUCGGCUGUGAAAACCUGGGGCUCAACCCCGGGCCUGCAGCCGAUACGGGCAAGCUAGAGUUCGGUAGGGGAGACUGGAAUUCCUGGUGUAGCGGUGAAAUGCGCAGAUAUCAGGAGGAACACCGGUGGCGAGGGCGGGUCUCUGGGCCGAAACUGACGCUGAGGAGCGAAAGCGUGGGGAGCGAACAGG
rnacentral:rRNA from 1 species